GACAUGGUGGCUGAAUGGUUAAGGCAAUGGUCUGCAAAAUCAUUUUUUAUGAGUUCGAAUCUCAUCCUUGUCUCUA
rnacentral:tRNA from 1 species